rfam:Pyronema omphalodes CBS 100304, CBS100304, WGS project CATG01000000 data, contig: Pcon_v1_contig852
GGUUCUAUAGUGUAGUGGUUAGCACUUCGGAUUCUGAUUCCGGCAACCCCGGUUCGACUCCGGGUAGGACCU